AGCAAGACCAAUUAGAGGUGUCAGCCAGUCAGUCACUUCCUGUUGAACGCGGAAUGAGGGAGAGCUCGGUUUGGUGUUUUGGAAAGUUUGUUGUUUUGAAAGUCUAUUGAAAAAGUUUGGUUAAUAACUAGCUCUCUUUUGAGUUUCGAUUCCGUAACCCGGUUGGCAUCAGUUGCUGGGACUGCUACUAUCUGUCCAGUGAUGCUGCCGACGAAGGCCGGUUCUGAGUAGCUGUUUGGCAUAUCAGCUAGCCUAGCUGCUAGCUAACUAGCUGCCUAUCAAGCUAGCAGGGUUUUCUUGAGGGCUUGAACGCAGCCCAUGAUGCGGUUAGCCAUUGUGGCUGGGACCACGGAUUGUCCCAAGCAGAUGUUACAACAACAAGAAAAUAGCUUCAAGUGUUGUGUCCAAAUACUGGUGGAGUCAGUUAAUAAAAGAAUAGAUGACCUGACCAGAGAGGCCCAGAACCUGAAGAACAGUUUGCAGUUCUCCCAGGGUCAGAUCGAUGAGUUUAAAUAAGAGAACGGCAAGAUGACAGCAAUCUAUAAGUCAUUGAGAGAAGACAUCAGUUCUGUUUAUGAAUCCAUAAUAACAAUGACAGAGAAAUCACAUUAUCUUGAGGGACAAUCAAGGCAGAACAACAUUGUUGAAGAUGGAAUUGCAGAAUCCACAUGAGACCUGAAUGAAGUCUGAGGACAAAGUGAGGGAAAUGAUCUCGGAGAAACUGAAGAUGGACCACUGGAAGAUUAAAGUGGAGCGGGCCCACACCGGGACAGGUAACAGGCCCUGGCCAAUAGUGGUCAAGUUCCUGAGGUUCAGGGACAAGGUAGCUGUUCUGGAAAGAGCCAAGAACUUGAGAGGAAUGUACAUCUUUCUCAACGAGGACUAUCCUGAAGCUGUGCAUCAGAAGAGGAAAGAACUUAUCCCAGCCAUGAAAGCUGCUGCCUGAGCGCGUGGGGACAUUGCUUACAUUGCUUACAUCCGCUAUGACAGGCUCUUUGUCCACCCUCCCUCCCAAAAGCCUGAAAGGGAUGAGAGAGCCAAGCCUAUGGGUCAUAGCUUCAACUCUGCAGCACACACACACACCAAUUGAUUAAUGGACUGCUGAAGUCUGUUUCCUGAGGUUCCUGAACGCACCCUGUCUGGUUGCCAGGCGACGAAGCUAGGAGGGAGAUCUCUCGAUUACCCGCACCUGCAUCUCAUCAGCCAUCUGCACACCUGGUCCUGAUCAUCACCUCUUCUCUUCAUAAGCUCUGACCUGACAUCCAUUCCCUGCCGGAUCGUUAGCAAUGAACAUCAUCCUCCCGGAACAUUCACCCCCCCUGCCUGGUCGUCGGUGGCUUCUGUGACAUCAUUGGAUCUGCCUAUUCACUCUCAUCACCCCACCUCCACUGCCGCUCCGUCUCCUGGAUUAUUCUGCUUUCACCUCGAGACUGUAAAUAAAUACUCACCUUCAUUUUACUCACCUUGUCCUGGUCGGCUUCUGGGUUCUGCUUUAGAGAAUCGUGACAGUUAUUGAAGUGUUGUGGUUGCAGGUUCACCUGACACAUCUAAAGCCUUUUCUUUUGGGGUGUUGCUAUAGGCCACCAAGUGCUAACAGUCAGUAUCUAAAUAAUAUGUGUGAAAUGCUUGAUAGUGUAUGUGAUGUAAACAGAGAGGACUACUUUCUUGGGGACCUGAAUAUUGAUCAUAUAUUCAUCAAGCUGUCCACUCAAGAGGAAGUGUCUCACUGUAACCAGUGCCUGUAACCUGGUUCAGGUUAUUAAUCAACCUACCAGUGUUUACAAACACUACAGGAACAAAAUCAUCCACAUGUAUUGAUCUCCUUUUUACUAAUACUGUAGAACUUCAUUCUAAAGCUGUAUCUGUACCCAUUGGAUGCAGUGAUCACGAUAUAGUGGUUAUAUCCACGAAAGCCAAAGUUCCAAAAGCUGGGCCUAAAAUAGUGUAUAAGAGACCAUACAUUUUGCUGUGACUCUUAUGUGAACGAUGUUAAAAAUAUUUGUUGGUCUAAUGUGAUUUUAUAAGGAGCAUCCAGACGCAGCACUUGAUUUAUAAAAUUGCUUCUUCCAAUUAUUGAUAAACAUGCACCUGUUA
rnacentral:lncRNA from 1 species